rnacentral:misc_RNA from 1 species
GCUCGCUUAUUAUCUCCUAGAUUUGUGUGGUUACCCCUGUCUUGUAAGUAUGCAGCCUGGCAAUUUAUCCAUGGGUGGUACGCCAAUCUUGUAUAUGUACAGAUGAUGCUUCUGACAAGAGCAAGGGAAUGCAAAAGAGCUAGCGAGGUUCAGCAGAAGGGUUUGUCAGAAGAUCCAGUGCACGUUUCAGGUGAUCCACGGCAACAGAUACGUCGUCAAAUGCAAGAGCACCGACCGCAAACCUGGCUGCCUUGUGAGCCUCAGCAAUCUUCUCAACUUCAGGCUGGUAACUGCUAUCAUAUUU